AAGAUCCUCCGUCUGCCGAGGUCUCGGAGACAUACGAGUUCUUGACGGGUUGUAGCUGGCUCUUUUUUUAAGAGCAUGUGCACGCCUGGCUCAAUUCCACUCCUUAACCUCUGUGCACUUAUUGUAGGUCGGUGGAGGCUGGCGCAAGUCAGUUUGAAGCCUUCCUAUGUUUUAUUACAAACGUAUCAGUUAUAGAAUGUCUUACUUUGCUAUAAUGCAAUUAUAUACAACUUUCAGCAACGGAUCUCUUGGCUCUCGCAUCGAUGAAGAACGCAGCGAAAUGCGAUAAGUAAUGUGAAUUGCAGAAUUCAGUGAAUCAUCGAAUCUUUGAACGCACCUUGCACCCCUUGGUAUUCCGAGGGGUAUGCCUGUUUGAGUGUCAUGGUAUUCUCAACCCCCAAAUUCUUUAUUGAGUCUUGGUGGGCUUGGACUUGGAGGUUGUGCUGGAUUUUUAUUAAUUCAGCUCCUCUGAAAUGUAUUAGUGUGAAUCUUACGGAUCGCCUUCAGUGUGAUAAUUGUCUACGCUGUGGUUGUGAAGUAUAUUUGUAUUCAUGCUUCUAAUCGUCUCUUAAUGAGACAAUUACAUCUUUGACAUCUGACCUCAAAUCAGGUAGGACUACCCGCUGAACUUAAGCAUAUCAAUAAAGCGGAGGAAAAAA
rnacentral:rRNA from 1 species